CUAAGAGUGACCAUCACCAUCAUCAUCACCAUCAUCAUCACCAUCAACAGCAACACCAUCAGUUUGUUGAGAAGAGCGCCAAGAUGCCCAGUACUUCUUCUUCAGGAGGUACCAGCCCCCAGCCCUUGAGCACCCCACUCGCUAAGGUCACCACCCCCAGGAAGAUCAGCUCACAGCAGGAGUUGAGUGACCUCCUCUGCUGCCCCGUGUGCCUAGAGGAGUACCAGCUGGAGGGCGAAGGAGGGAGGGAGCCGCUCUUCCUCGCCUGCCACCACAGCGUGUGUCGUGUCUGUCUCCCGAGGUUGAUCAAAGUCCAGUCUGGGAGGACGGCCAAGGACGUGGGUGAACUCUCGUGCCCAGAGUGUAGGGUGGCGACACUGGUGCCCCCUAGCGGCCUCUCCCAGAACUUCUACCUCGUCAGUCUCAUCGAGGCCAGGAGGCGCAAGGACAAAGAGACAUUCAGCCGAUUGAGGAUGUGGUGGUGAGUGCGGUGUGGCUCUUGAGUCCUGCGCCACUCACCAGCUGACUCACCUGUCAUCCGUCCUCACCUCCUCCCUCACCACCUACUCCGCCACCAGGGCCAGGCUCAUCACCCUCCUACAGGUGAGGGCGAGGAAGAAGGGGAGGAGGCUGAGAGAUGAAGGAG